AAUAAGGCCAAGUGCAUUUUAGUCAAUUCAAGCCUUGCUAAGGGGUUUUGGGCCAAGGCAUUAUGCACAUCAUCAUAUUUGAUUACUAGAUCUCCAUCUAGUUUUGUAAAGUUUAAGACUCCUCAAGAACUAUGGACUAGGAAGCCACCAAAUUUAACGCAUAUUAGAGUGUUUGGCUGUGUAGCAUAUGCACACAAAAUUGAGGGUAAGUUGGUGCCUAGAGAUAUUAGAUGUGUUAUGCUAGGCUAUUCUAAGGGGGUUAAGGGUUACAGGUUGUGGGUUUUAGGAAAACAUUGUAUUAAUAUCAUUAAUAGUAGGAAUGCUUGUGUUUAACGAAUCUAAAAUGCUUUGUUUAAAAUCCAAAUAUGAUGAUUUCGAGGAAAUUGAAUCUACCAAGAAAUUUCAAAAUGAGGAGAAGUUGACAAAAAAUGACUUCACUCAGUCUGAUGGGAAUGAACCUGUGAUUGAUGAGAUUGAUGUACCUCAUGGUAAAACUGAAAUGGAAACUAACACCCAAAUAAUUG
rnacentral:lncRNA from 1 species